rnacentral:rRNA from 1 species
GACGAACGCUGGCGGCGUGCUUAACACAUGCAAGUCGAACGGAAAGGCCCUGCUUUUGUGGGGUGCCCGAUUGGCGAACGGGUGAGUAACACGUGAGUAACCUGCCCUUGACUUUGGGAUAAGUUCAGGAAACUGGGGCUAAUACCGGAUAGGAGCUCCUGCUGCAUGGUGGGGGUUGGAUAUUUUCGGCGGUUGGGGAUGGAGUGGCGGCUGAUCAGCUUGUUGGUGGGGUAGGGGCUUACCCAGGCUUUGACUGGUAGCCGGCCUGAGAGGGUGAACGGCCACAUUGGGACUGAGAGACGGCCCAGACGCCUACGGGAGGCAGCAGUGAGGAAUAUUGCACAAUGGGAGGACGCCUGAUGCAGAAACGCCGCGUGCGGGAUGCCGGCCUUCGGGUUGUAAACCGCUUUCGCCUGUGACGAAGCGUGAGUGACGGUAAUGGGUAAAGAAGCACCGGCUAACUACGUG